GUGAUUCACAGUGACAGCAUACUGCUGUUACGGACACCUCGAAGAGAGAGGUCUGAUGCAUUCGCACUCUGAUGAGCCAUAAGGGGAUACUGUGGCAGAUGAUGGCACAUCUCCCCAGAAGCCUUUGGCCUGAAUUUAGCGGGAUACGCCAAGUCUCAAGGUCUGUAUCUUCUGUGUUCUCAAUUCUCAAACUGAAGAGUUUGAUCAAACUCUCACUGGAAUCUAAAGCAUAUGGAAUAAUGCCUGAAGAUGGAGCUGUUUACAAACUUCUGCGGGAUAAAAGGGAACCUAUUUGCAACACAGACUUCAUAGAAACAAGCAUUGUAGUUACUUUUAUCAGAGUUUGCCCUUCCAGAUUAAUGGUGUUGAACUUCUCAUGCUGACCAGAGGGAGCCCAGGAAGAGAUGAAAAGCACACAAUCUACAGAGCAAUAGAGCCUCUCCCACAUGUUCUUGUACAACUUAUAAAAUAUAGUGAUUGCAGAAACAUCUGAAACACAACUGAAGAGGUGGCUUGGGACACUUACUUUCAUUUUACGGACAACACUCAGAAAUAAUCUUUCAGCUUAUUCUACAGUUACUCCCAAGCAGAACAGAAAUUUUUGUACCUAAGCUCCAUGUCUGUAAAAACUGAACAAGAUAGCCAUGAUCCUAAUACUUCUAAAAUGCUUUUGAGACCAAACAUUGCAUAUGGGAUGAAAAGGAAUGUAACCCUUAUUAUUGCUGCAGAGUCCAGUUUCUUGAUUUUCUGACAGAUUAUUAUAAUCAUUAAUGAUCUAAGUAACUCAUUUUGUUAGAAGUUAUAGAGGAUAACUCCCCAAAAUGAUCAGGUCUUCAUCUCUUUUCUCUAUUUUAUAAAUUCAUUUACUCACUCAUUUGUAUCAGCAUAGAUUACAGCAAACACAGCUUACAAGAACACUCUAACGGGGCAGAAUUUUCUAUCCUUUUCUCUCAUGGGCCACUGAAGAAUCAGCUUUUCAGUCAUAACAGAUUGAAACUGCACGCCUAUGAGCCCAGAAGACCUUUGAAACCAUAUGAAUUAAGAAUCCAAAGCACAACUGAAGAAGAAAUGAACUUAAAUCAAGGCACCUAAAUGACCUGGACGUUUCUAAAACCUUUAUGCAAACCUUUAUACAUAUAUACAACCAGUCAGUUGCUAAGAAUCUCUGCAAGAAUACCAUGCAAUAGAAAGGUUUUUCAUUUUUUUUUUCCAUUUUCUUUUUCCCCUCACUCAAAACCAAAUAAAAAACCCAUUCACUUAAGAAGCGAUUGUCUGUAGACCUUUGAAGCCAAGGCGGGUGACAGCAAGGGCAAGAGGCUUAUUUCAAGGGUCACAUUUCAUUUGCAUAAGCAAGUAACCAUAGGGCACUGUGGAAUGUCUGUAAAUGGAUUUCAUUACAGAAAUUCAGCUUAAAGGGACUAUAAAUAAUCCUCUGACAAACAUUGUAUAUUGCUUCAAGUUCUUCUGUAAUAAAAAUAUUUUAGUAACACAACAAUCCGUGAAAGCAGGAAAUGAAACAGGAGGAGCUGCUCAUCUUCUCCUUUUCUCUCUCAGGGCAACAUUAUAUUGUAAUAUGUUUUAGAGAAGAAAAAUGUGAUAUUCAUAUUAUUUUAGCAAAGUAAUCCUACAAAAACAGACUUAUAUCAUUCCAUAUGGCUGAGACAGGGUGGCUGAACAAAUACUCAGAUCUUUACUAGCUCUUCUCCCCUGGAGAUCAUCUGUUCAGCAUGGACAGGUGUGCAGGCUGCGUGGUAUUCUGCCCAAAGGAACAUCUCAAAAUACAUAUUGGUGUGUAAAUCUUACUGAAUGUAUUUCAGUGCAGAAGCUAUCUAAAUUAUGUGUUUUACUGGAUUGACAUUUUUUGAUGAUAUGAAGAAAAUAUGAAUGUCUAAAGGCCCCUUUUUGGACAAAGCAUUUAAGCAACUUGCUAACUGAAGUGCACACUUAACUCUUGAUUAUUUCUGCAGGACAUGGCUCUAUGGUCAAAAGCUUACCUAAAUGUGGAGGGAUGUUCUCACAUACAGUUAAGUGCAUGUUAAUGCAUGCUGGAUGUUUUCACAUGUCCCUUCCCAGCACAGUCAAGAGUUCAUAGCUAGAUGGAUCUAGGUGGACAUCAGACCCCCUGUUCAACAUCAUGUGCUGAUGGUCUGAGAGGCCCAGGAAGUCACUGGAGCUUUUGCAUUUUUCCUGUGUGUAGAAACAAAUCCUUAGCAUCCCCUUAAAAAUACGUGGCUUGCCAGCUUUGAAGGGAAACUUUGGGCUAUCAUCUCAUCACUACUACAUCUCUCUUGGAAUACUACCUGGAAGGACAUAGACAGUGGCCAAAGCUCUGUUCUGUGCAGGCAGUCACUUCUGGGAGAGAGUUUUGGCCAUGCCCCCAGUCUAUUACAAAAGGUCUCAACAAGCAGUCUCUUUCUACCAUUUCUAAUAAUAUACUUGCAAGGAAAAGAAAAAUAUGGGAUACUUCUUCUAAAGGAAAGAAAAAGUGGGCCCUCACAGCAGUAAUUUAGUCAAUUAAUUUUCAUUUAUGCUAGUUUUUCUUUCCUCCCGUUUACCUUUCUAAUAACUACAAUUAUUCUCACACUGGCAUUACUGUUAUCUCUGGAAUAGAUUUGCUCACACUGAAAAAAUCCAAUUGAGUCAGAGCAUGUAACGAGAAAAUGUAAUCCAUCAUUAUUAAAAAAGACAGCUUACCUUUAUCUGGGUGUUAAAUAGUACAAAUCCAUGAGAGUCAGUGAAUGUUUUGAAGUAAAAACGAAGGGCAUUAUGAAGGCUGAAGUGGAUUUGUCACCGAAUUAUAUGUAUUACCUCAGAAAUGGCCUGCUAUAGGGUUGUAGAAAUAACAUGUUUAGGGGUGGAAAAGAGAAAAUAAUGGUAUUUGCUUGUUUUCUAUAUUUCCAGAGAAACUAAAUGAGCUCUUAAACAUCAGGUUAUUUUGUAGAAAAUUGCAAGAUGAGAAGAAAGGUUGUUCCUGAAAAUAAAUCAUAUUUGUUUCACUCUUCAUACCUGAAUGGUGUUUCUGACAAUAUGCACAUCAG
rnacentral:lncRNA from 1 species